rnacentral:miRNA from 1 species
AAACAAAAAAAAAAGCCUAUUUCCUGGUUCUUAUGCAAGGCUUAUUGAAUUAGUAUUUCUGUAUAUGGAGUCCAGGAACCUACAUUUUAAAACAAGUACCUGGAAUAAUUUUGAUACA